UACGUGAGCCCCGAGCGUUAUCCGGAAUUAUUGGGCGUAAAGGGUGCGUAGGUGGUUGUAUUAGUCAUGGGUGAAAUACCGGAGCUUAACUUCGGGAACGCCUGUGAAACGGUACGACUUGAAUAUGUCAGAGGUGUGUGGAACUCUCGGUGUAGGGGUGAAAUCCGUUGAUAUCGAGGGGAACACCAAAAGCGAAGGCAGCACACUGGGACAUUAUUGACACUGAAGCACGAAACCCUGGGUAGCGAAUGGU
rnacentral:rRNA from 1 species